UACGUAGGUGGCAAGCGUUGUCCGGAUUUACUGGGCGUAAAGAGCGCGCAGGCGGUCGGCCAAGUCGAGUGUGAAAGCCCCCGGCUCAACUGGGGAGGGUCAUUCGAUACUGGUCGACUCGAAGGCAGGAGAGGGAAGCGGAAUUCCCGGUGUAGUGGUGAAAUUCGUAGAUAUUGGGGAAGAACACCGGUGGCGAAGGCGGCUCACUGGACCGAUACUGACGCUGAGGCGGCGAAAAGCGUGGGGAG
rnacentral:rRNA from 1 species